rnacentral:rRNA from 1 species
GCAGUCGAGCGAGAAGCUACCUUCGGGUAGUGGACAGCGGCGCACGGGUGAGUAACGCGUACACAAUCUACCUUAUAGAGGAGAAUAGCCCUGGGAAACUGGGAUUAAUGCUCCAUAGUAUUACACUUUGGCAUCAAGGUGUAAUUAAAGCUCCGGCGCUAUAAGAUGAGUGUGCGUACUAUUAGCUAGUUGGUAAGGUAACGGCUUACCAAGGCUACGAUAGUUAGGGGGCGUGAGAGCGUGACCCCCCACACGGGUACUGAGACACGGACCCGACUCCUACGGGAGGCAGCAGUAAGGAAUAUUGGACAAUGGGCGCAAGCCUGAUCCAGCCAUCCCGCGUGGAGGAUGACUGCCCUAUGGGUUGUAAACUCCUUUUAUUUGAGAAGAAACGCCUGGAUUUAUCCGGGCCUGACGGUAUCUUAUGAAUAAGCACCGGCUAACUCCGUGCCAGCAGCCGCGGUAAUACGGAGGGUGCAAGCGUUAUCCGGAAUCACUGGGUUUAAAGGGUGCGUAGGUGGUUUAGUAAGUCAGAUGUGAAAGCCCGGCGCUCAACGUCGGAAUUGCAUUUGAUACUGCUGAACUUGAAUCAGGUUGAGGUGGGCGGAAUGUGGCAUGUAGCGG